GACAGCUAACAGCUGCCUUUCCAAAUCCAUACUUUUUUAUUAUUAUAUUUUAUUUAUAAUUAAAGAAAUAAUCUUCCUUUUAAAAACAUAAUAAUAUCAUAUUGAAUUUUUUUUCUUUCUUUUUUUCGGUUGAACUGAAAAAGAAAAAUCAAAUCUGGUUUUAUAUAUGAAGUAAUACCAGAUUAGAUUUUGAAUGGUUGGGAUAAUAAUAAUAAUAAUAAUAA
rnacentral:misc_RNA from 1 species